UACAGAGACUGCAAGCGUUAUUCGGAUUUACUGGGCGUAAAGGGCGCGCAGGCGGCUCACCAAGUCAGACGUGAAAGCCCCGGGCUUAACCUGGGAGGUGCGUUUGGGACUGGUGGGCUAGAGUUCGGGAGAGGAGAGUGGAAUUCCACGUGUAGCAGUGAAAUGCGUAGAGAUGUGGAGGAACACCGAUGGCGAAGGCAGCCCCCUGGGCUAACACUGACGCUCAUGCACGAAAGCGUGGGGAGCAAACAGG
rnacentral:rRNA from 1 species